CCUACGGGUGGCAGCCGUGAGGAAUAUUGGUCAAUGGGCGUAAGCCUGAACCAGCCAAGUCGCGUGAGGGAUGAAGUUUCUAGGGAUCGUACACCUCUUUUAUAAGGGAAUAAAGUGUGGGACGUGUCCUAUUUGGUAUGUACCUUAUGAAUAAGAAUCGGCUAACUCCGUGCCAGCAGCCGCGGUAAUACGGAGGAUCCGAGCGUUAUCCGGAUUUAUUGGGUUUAAAGGGUGCGUAGGCGGCCAUUUAAGUCAGCGGUGAAAGUCUGUGGCUCAACCUUAGAAUGGCCGUUGAAACUGGGGGGCUUGAGUAGGGUUGAGGCAGGCGGAAUGCGUGGUGUAGCGGUGAAAUGCUUAGAUAUCACGAAGAACCCCGACUGCGAAGGCAGCCUGCCAAGCCAUGACUGACGCUGAUGCACGAAAGCGUGGGGAUCAAACAGGAUUAGAUACCCUAGUAGUC
rnacentral:rRNA from 1 species